CAGCCGCCGCGGUAACACGAAGGGUGCAAGCGUUAAUCGGAAUUACUGGGCGUAAAGCGUGCGCAGGCGGUUAUAUAAGACAGAUGUGAAAUCCCCGGGCUCAACCUGGGAACUGCAUUUGUGACUGUAUAGCUAGAGUACGGCAGAGGGGGAUGGAAUUCCGCGUGUAGCAGUGAAAUGCGUAGAUAUGCGGAGGAACACCGAUGGCGAAGGCAAUCCCCUGGGCCUGUACUGACGCUCAUGCACGAAAGCGUGGGGAGCAAACAGGAUUAGAUACCCCCGUAGUCCCUGUCUCUUAUAC
rnacentral:rRNA from 1 species